AUGAAGGGGCUUCAACAGAGGAACAUUGGGAGCCACCACCUCGGAAGCCGUGGUUACGGCGGGAAGAGGUCCAAAUGGGCCAAGGAGGACGCGGAAGCCGCGAGUCUGGGCAUCCCAUACCCCUUGGCGGAGUUCGCCGUCCCGCAGGAGCGUGACGUCCUCAGGGCCCGGCACCGUUGGGACCCAGUGAAGAAGGUUUUCGAGACGAACACGGUCACGACGGACUUCAUCAGACUGCUGAGAGAGCAGCACAAGAUUGCGACCGAAAGCGACUCGCCGUCUAAGGCGUUGGCGAGGCCCAAGUGGGACACUCCAUUCAACCAGGCGUUGAACAUAUUGAAACGACUCCCGGUGGAUACUCGACCGUCGUAUGGACGCGUGCACGAUGUCUGA
rnacentral:rRNA from 1 species